rnacentral:rRNA from 1 species
GUCGAGCGGGGAAGAGUAGCUUGCUACUUGACCUAGCGGCGGACGGGUGAGUAAUGCUUAGGAAUCUGCCUAUUAGUGGGGGACAACAUCUCGAAAGGGAUGCUAAUACCGCAUACGUCCUACGGGAGAAAGCAGGGGACCUUCGGGCCUUGCGCUAAUAGAUGAGCCUAAGUCGGAUUAGCUAGUUGGUGGGGUAAAGGCCUACCAAGGCGACGAUCUGUAGCGGGUCUGAGAGGAUGAUCCGCCACACUGGGACUGAGACACGGCCCAGACUCCUACGGGAGGCAGCAGUGGGGAAUAUUGGACAAUGGGGGGAACCCUGAUCCAGCCAUGCCGCGUGUGUGAAGAAGGCCUUUUGGUUGUAAAGCACUUUAAGCGAGGAGGAGGCUACCGAGAUUAAUACUCUUGGAUAGUGGACGUUACUCGCAGAAUAAGCACCGGCUAACUCUGUGCCAGCAGCCGCGGUAAUACAGAGGGUGCAAGCGUUAAUCGGAUUUACUGGGCGUAAAGCGCGCGUAGGUGGCCAAUUAAGUCAAAUGUGAAAUCCCCGAGCUUAACUUGGGAAUUGCAUUCGAUACUGGUUGGCUAGAGUAUGGGAGAGGAUGGUAGAAUUCCAGGUGUAGCGGUGAAAUGCGUAGAGAUCUGGAGGAAUACCGAUGGCGAAGGCAGCCAU